AAUGAUACAGGUUAAUAAUAUUUUAUCCUUCAUCUCUUUUGCCCACAGAAAUAAUAAUAUAUAUAAAUAAAUAUAUUCGACUGGACACAAAGUGAGAAUAAUAAUAAAUGUAUUUUGAGAUUUAUUUGAGUACUUUGAAUCUCCAAAUAAAAAAAACUUUUUAUAUUCGCUUCUUUUCACGUCACGUUCAGGGAUCGUGCGCAACUUUGCAGCGUUCGUGUUCUAAAAAAGCUCGAGUCUCUCUGUUCAUCGGUGUGUUGUUAUUUUAAUUGUUCCUCUUCUCACCGGGGGUUUCAUUACCAUCAGCACCGAGCGUCGUGAAAGCUGCCAGUGCCUCAGAGUGGUUCAUCCCCGCGGUGUUGACGAGCUCUGCGCCUCACUCGAAAGGGAAAGGAAACAGCGACUUCUCCAUUCCUGGCGUCGUCUGUAGCUAACGAGCGUCUGAACCUCCGAGGCGAGCAGCGGCUUCUCUCCGGCUUCACACAGGGACCCUCGCCCCGCUCUUCGGACUCCCUCUCCCGCAGAGCACCGCUGUCCGCCGCGAGCACUUCGCUGUGAAACCCCCAGGCGCCAGAUUUAUCGAGCCCGACUGCACGAAGUUGAUAGGCAAGCUAGCUAGCUAGCCACCUAGCUAAGUCUCAGCUAGCUUGCAGUGCUGGUCGGGGGGGAGCAGCUUUUAUUCUUUUUUUUUUUUUUUUUUUUUUUUUUUUUUUUGUUCUGUUUGUUUUUGUAUUUUCUUUGUAAAGUCCUUUUUCGACAGGGGGGGCGUCGUUUUUUUUCUUCAUCGUCCUACGACCGGCCGUGGCUGUUUCACCCGGGAUUCUGAAGCGUAUUUGCGGUGUAGUUCAGAGCGGUAAGCCGGUUGGUUGUUGCUAGCGUGCUUGAUUUAGCCUGCUAGCUAAUACCCUGCGUAUUUAGCCUGGAAGCCAGUUCAAGGCCUCAGUCCAGCGCCACCAGCAGCUGCUACCGCCGCCAAACUCUUUGCAUCGCCCCGCAGUGAGAAGUGACAGCUUACUUGGUGACGCAGAGACUUCUCCCUGAGGAGCCAAGAAGCAGACGGCUCAUGACUUCUGACCAGGACACGAAAGUUGUAGCUGAACCACAGGUGCAGCAAGUGCAAGAGGCAAAAGAGAACUCCCAUUUGGAAUCCGCCAAGGUUUCAGACCUCAACCCCAAUGCGAAAGCAUGGGCCAACCACAUGUUUAGCCUGGACCCAAGCGGGAGUGCUGACACCACAACUGCUGCCCUGCAGCCAUGGAAGGAAGGCUGCGAUAGUUUGGCUGACCCCGGCCCAGAAGGUCAGCCAAUUGUUCGGGAUACAAAAUGUAAUGACCUCAUCUUUUCUCUGUUUAUGGCCUUGAUAGUAAAUGCAAUGAAAUAAUAAUCAAUGUCAUACGUUUUAAAUUCUAUUCAAUUUCAGUUUUAUUUAUAUAGCACCUACUCACAACAUACAUUAUCGCAAGGCAGUAAGAGAACUCCAGCAGUGCGUCGUUCACAACACAUGUAACUCAAACAUACAAGUGACGUUCUCCAUCUUUUCCUAUGUUCAAAAAACAAUAAAUUAGUGAAGACGAG